AGGCUUUUCCAGAUUCUGAGCAGGAGCGGGGGAAAGAACUUUCAAUCCAGGGCCGCUUGUGCCAGCAGCUUAAAAAAGGAGUGGCCGCCCUGGGGGUGCCAGUGGCCCUCUGUUGUAUUAUGAGGAGGUGAGGGAGAUGCCCACCUUCUCCAUCUGCACCAUAGGCCUGGGGACAUGGCAGGACAACGGUCUCUGGCCCCUAUCGGAAGCAGGAUUGAUUACUGGGCAAAGCUGUCUCUUUGAUGAAAAGUGGAAGACUUAUCAAGGGCAAAGGAACACCAGGCAUGAGCAGAACAAGAACCGAGAUCCAGACCACAGGGUAGCACUGUUUGCUAGUCCAUAGCGAGACCUGGGGUUUGACCAUCCAAGCCAUCUUUCCGCCAUCUUUAAUUUGUAUCUUUUAACAUGAAUGCAAAGUUAUGUUAA